rnacentral:tRNA from 1 species
GAGGGCGUAGCUCAGAGGUAGAGCGCACGCUUAGCACGCACGAGGUCCUGGCUUCAAUCCCCAGUGCUUCCA